rnacentral:rRNA from 1 species
UGGGGAAUUUUGCACAAUGGGGGAAACCCUGAUGCAGCGACGCCGCGUGAUUUAGAAGGCCUUCGGGUUGUAAAAAUCUUUUGUAUAGGAAGAAAAUGACAGUACUAUACGAAUAAGGACCGGCUGAUUACGUGCCAGCAGCCGCGGUAAUACGUAAGGUCCGAGCGUUGUCCGGAAUCAUUGGGCGUAAAGGGUACGUAGGCGGGUAAGCAAGUUAGAAGUGAAAUCCUAUAGCUCAACUAUAGUAAGCUUUUAAAACUGCUCAUCUUGAGAUAUGGAAGGGAAAGUGGAAUUCCUAGUGUAGCGGUGAAAUGCGCAGAUAUUAGGAGGAAUACCGGUGGCGAAGGCGACUUUCUGGCCAUAAUCUGACGCUGAGGUACGAAAGCGUGGGUAGCAAACAGG